AACUCAUGAUUUAGGCAUUGCAUUAACUUGUUGUUGAAUCAUCGCCAAGCCUCAUAUAAUGGUUCGCCAUUUAGUUGGCAAAAAUUAGUGAUUUCAUCCCUUAGUAU
rfam:Capsicum annuum cultivar Zunla-1 chromosome 9, whole genome shotgun sequence